CAGUUAGUGAGGCUGAACACAGGUCAGUCAGUGAGGCUGAACACAGGUCAGUUAGUGAGGCUGAACACAGGUCAGUUAGUGAGGCUGAACACAGGUCAGUCAGUGAGGCUGAACACAGGUCAGUGAGUGAGGCUGAACACAG